rnacentral:rRNA from 1 species
UGCCCCAGUAACGGCGAGUGAAGCGGCAACAGCUCAAAUUUGAAAUCUGGCCCCCAGGGUCCGAGUUGUAAUUUGCAGAGGAUGAUUUUGGCGAGGUGCCUUCCGAGUUCCCUGGAACGGGACGCCACAGAGGGUGAGAGCCCCGUCUGGUUGGACGCCGAGCCUAUGUAAAUCUCCUUCGACGAGUCGAGUAGUUUGGGAAUGCUGCUCUAAAUGGGAGGUAUAUGUCUUCUAAAGCUAAAUAUUGGCCAGAGACCGAUAGCGCACAAGUAGAGUGAUCGAAAGAUGAAAAGCACUUUGAAAAGAGGGUUAAAUAGUACGUGAAAUUGUUGAAAGGGAAGCGCUCAUGACCAGACUUGGGCCCGGUGAAUCAUCCAGCGUUCUCGCUGGUGCACUUUGCCGGGCUCAGGCCAGCAUCAGUUUGCCCCGGGGGAUAAAGGCUUUGGGAAUGUGGCUCCUCCGGGAGUGUUAUAGCCCAUUGCACAAUAUCCUGGGGUGGACUGAGGUUCGCGCAUCUGCAAGGAUGCUGGCGUAAUGGUCAUCAGCGACCCGUCUUGAAAC